UGGGGAAUAUUGCACAAUGGGCGCAAGCCUGAUGCAGCCAUGCCGCGUGUAUGAAGAAGGCCUUCGGGUUGUAAAGUACUUUCAGUCGGGAGGAAGGUGGUAAGGUUAAUAACCUUAUCAAUUGACGUUACCGACAGAAGAAGCACCGGCUAACUCCGUGCCAGCAGCCGCGGUAAUACGGAGGGUGCAAGCGUUAAUCGGAAUUACUGGGCGUAAAGCGCACGCAGGCGGUUGAUUGAGUCAGAUGUGAAAUCCCCGGGCUUAACCCGGGAAUUGCAUCUGAUACUGGUCAGCUAGAGUCUUGUAGAGGGGGGUAGAAUUCCAUGUGUAGCGGUGAAAUGCGUAGAGAUGUGGAGGAAUACCGGUGGCGAAGGCGGCCCCCUGAACAAAGACUGACGCUCAGGUGCGAAAGCGUGGGGAGCAAACAGG
rnacentral:rRNA from 1 species